CACCUUGAUUUGAACAGCUUUUCCUCCGCUGCCAAGCCAUCCUGCUUUGGAGCCAGCCAGCUAUGGACUAAAAACCUUAGCAAAGUCUCCAUCUUUUUAUUCUCUGAGGAGAAGUCCUCUUCCAUACCAUAUGCUUUGUCUUGGAGAGAAGAUAAAGGAGAUGAGGGAAGGUGGAAGUCCUGACUUACUGGCCUCUUAAGCCAAAUGAAGAAACCGGAGCUGGGUCUAUGGCUAUACCAUCCUGAACGCGCACAAUCGCAUCUGAUCUUGGAAGCUAAGCAGGGUCGGGCCCGAAGUGCAAAGGGUUUAACUCAGGAAGAAGCAGCACCAUGAAGUGAGCCAGACCUCAUUCACACCUUCCUGCUGUGGCUCCACUCACCCACUGCAGAGUCUACCAAUUCUUUCCUCAGACUUGGCAUAAAUUGGAGGGAAAGAUGUUUACCAGAAUGGAUGGAUGGCUGGAUAGAUGGAUAGAUGGAUAGACAAAUGGAUUAAUCUCAGGGAGUCUUGCAAUGUUCUUCCAUGUGUUUGUGGCAGAAAACACUUUGAUGUGUUUUUAGAAUGCUAUUUCUAAUACUUCAAGUUCAAAUAUCGAGGCUGAAAAAAACAAAGACAUUCUAUCUCCAAAAAGAAGGCAGUACAAUAGAGCUCAACAGCACGAGCUUUGGAGUCAUUCAGUCCUUAUUAACACCUCUGAAUUUCUGUUUCUUCAUGUAUAAAAUGAUGGUAAUAACAGUACCUUUCUCAAAGAUGGUUGCUAUUUGAAUUAACUAAAAUAACUUUUGGAUAAUAUCAGUAAUUUACUGCUUAUAAAAUAGGGAGCACUUGAGAAAUUAUAACUCUAACUCACUGAAAAGAUUUCUGUUGAGGUUAUUAUAGGCUUAGUUCUAUCAC
rnacentral:lncRNA from 1 species